UACGAGGGGGGCGAGCGUUUGUUCGGAAUUAUUGGGCGAAAGGGUGCGUAGGCGGUUUGGUAAGUCUUGUGUGAAAUCUCCGGGCUCAACUCGGAGCCUGCACGAGAAACUGCCGGGGCUUGAGUGUGGGAGAGGUGAGUGGAAUUCCUGGUGUAGCGGUGAAAUGCGUAGAUAUCAGGAGGAACACCUGUGGCGAAAGCGGCUCACUGGACCAUAACUGACGCUGAUGCACGAAAGCUAGGGGAGCAAACAGG
rnacentral:rRNA from 1 species